rnacentral:rRNA from 1 species
GCAGUAGGGAAUAUUGGGCAAUGGGCGAGAGCCUGACCCAGCCAUGCCGCGUGCCGGAUGAAGGCCUUCUGGGUUGUAAACGGCUUUUCUCAGGGAAGAAAAAGACCAUGCGUGGUACACUGACGGUACCUGAGGAAUAAGCACCGGCUAACUCCGUGCCAGCAGCCGCGGUAAUACGGAGGGUGCAAGCGUUGUCCGGAUUUAUUGGGUUUAAAGGGUGCGUAGGCGGCCCGUUAAGUCCGGGGUGAAAGCCCACAGCUCAACUGUGGAACUGCCCUGGAUACUGGCGGGCUUGAGUCCAGACGAGGUUGGCGGAAUGGAAGGUGUAGCGGUGAAAUGCAUAGAUACCUUCCAGAACCCCGAUUGCGUAGGCAGCUGACUAGGCUGGUACUGACGCUGAGGCACGAAAGCGUGGGGAGCGAACAGGAUUAGA